rnacentral:rRNA from 1 species
AUUGAACGCUGGCGGCAGGCUUAACACAUGCAAGUCGAGCGGAGAUGAGGUGCUUGCACCUUAUCUUAGCGGCGGACGGGUGAGUAAUGCUUAGGAAUCUGCCUAUUAGUGGGGGACAACAUUCCGAAAGGAAUGCUAAUACCGCAUACGCCCUACGGGGGAAAGCAGGGGAUCUUCGGACCUUGCGCUAAUAGAUGAGCCUAAGUCGGAUUAGCUAGUUGGUGGGGUAAAGGCCUACCAAGGCGACGAUCUGUAGCGGGUCUGAGAGGAUGAUCCGCCACACUGGGACUGAGACAUGGCCCAGACUCCUACGGGAGGCAGCAGUGGGGAAUAUUGGACAAUGGGCGGAAGCCUGAUCCAGCCAUGCCGCGUGUGUGAAGAAGGCCUUUUGGUUGUAAAGCACUUUAAGCGAGGAGGAGGCUACUUGGAUUAAUACUCUAGGAUAGUGGACGUUACUCGCAGAAUAAGCACCGGCUAACUCUGUGCCAGCAGCCGCCGUAACAC